GCGGGGCUUCCAGAGAUGCCUCUGUGUAGGCCUUGCUGAAGCCUGAACUUGAGUAGGCCGGCAGGCCCCAAGCAAGCAUGGAAGGAGGCAGGCAGAGUGGCCACCACAGUUCUCUGCAGCAGACCCUCUGCCCAGGCCAGCCAGCCCAGCCUUUGCCAGGUUUCCUGACCACCUGCAGAACAUUCAGGAGUUCAGCAUUCAUGGAGGAAUGAUCAGCCAUGCCUUGAGACAAAGCAACCAUAUGUCCGGAUGGAGAAUCGAUCCAUCCUGCUGAAACAGUAGGUGGGGAGACAGAGCUUACAGCACUUCCUCCUGCAGUAAAACCCCCAUUUUGGGAAAUCUCAUGGGAAGUCUUGAUAUGACGACAAAAUACUGCCACUGAGAAGGGUUCCCUGGGUGGUUGUGGACCAGUCAUUCAGCCUAACCUCAUAGCCUUUCCUAAGAUGCUUAGAGGAAAGGUGGAAUACAAAUGAAAUAAAUAAUUUUUAAAAUGUAUUGUGCAUGUCUGAAAAUAAUAUUAAAGAAAAAAUUUAAGGUUAUAAUAUUCUAAUGAAAUGUAGCAUGUGUUCACUGAAGAUGACCGAAAAGUGUUGAGCAAUAUGUUCUAUAUUCUUUUUUUUUUUAAGCCCACCAAAAGACCUUUAAAGUGUCUUAAGCAGACAGGGAAACAAUGAAAGCAUUCCAGGCCACCAGUCACUUUUAACUAUCUUGGGUUAGUAUCGUUACUAAAGAAAGGCUUCAGUUGCAUUUUCACUUUAUCCACAAUAAGCUCUGAUUACAAUAUCGCCCAUGGCCAUUUGAGUCAUUACUGCACACUUCAUGAGAAAUCGAAGUACUAGUGCUAUGGAAAUUAAACUCCUUGACCUGUACAACAUUUUUCCUCUUUGAUGUCAGUCUGAAUUGAGUCUAUAUUCCAGUUUUGACUGGAAUAUAAUGUUAUUUUUUAGACACACAAACUCUCAUACCCGCUACAACACUUGUCAGAAGAAAUCUUAUAGCCACAUUCACUUUCAUGAAUGACAGCAAAGUCAGAAUAUUUAUAAACAAGCAUUUCAUAAAGCUGAGGUUCCUAAAAGCUAUUCUUCUCUUAUUCUGAUCAUAUUUGUUCCUUAGAGGCAGACAAUACUUCCUGUCAAUAGCAAGAUUUGCCCAUCUGUUGCAAUAAGGAUAUUAUUAUUGUCACUAUUAAUACAAUAAAAGCCAUGUCAGAAUUGCCUUUGAGGAACAGAAUGGUCAAAUGUUUCAACCGUUUGUUCCCCUCGGUUUUGACCAGGGUCCUCACACAGGAAGUGUUUUCAGGGCAGAUGGGGAUGUUUCUGGCAAUCUGGAUAGGAAGUGGAAACAAACUUGCUUAUCAGAUCCCUCAUGCCACCUGUGGCAGCUGUCACAGACCCCAUGAACCUGACAAACAGCAACACAGUUAUAUUCUCUCUACAUGGACUGAAGGGAUUGCAAUAUCCAAGAGUUAAAAUAACAUGUUUAAGUCUUUCUUAAGGAGCUAAAGAGCUGCCUUAUACUGAGCUAGAUCACUGAUCCAUCUACUCAGACUGACAAUAGCUCUCAAACAUUAUCUCUCUUAGCCUUGUGACUGAAUUCCUUUAAUUUCUUUAAGUGAUUUAAAAUCUCCUUAAGCGGAGAUGCCAGAGACUGAAUCAGGUACCUCAUGCAUCAGAAGGGUGUGUUCCAUUCCCACUGAACUAUGACCUUCUCAAUAAAUAUACAUGGAACUCAUGUGUCCUGUGUUGGAUGCUAUCUAGCUAGUCUCAAUGUCUGUGCCAGACAUCCACUUCACACUAAUAAAGCUGCUGUGGCCUAAUACAGAUGAAGCUCUCCAAAGUGCCCCCUACCAUCAUGCUCUCCACAAGUAAUAUAUCAGAGGUACUGAUUGAACUUGGAACCUUGGACAUGCAGACCAUGUCCUCUACCAUGUCUUUUCUCUGUCUUCUGGCAUAUUGUGAACUAACAGAGCAAACAAUUCAAUCGAUCAUAAAAAUUAAGAUGCCAGUUUCCCUUGGAAUAGGGUCAGUCUUCCACUGUCCACACACUUUGACAUUAAAUAGUCAGUCCAUGGCACAAGGAUGGGCAGCAGCUUUGGCAGCACAAUUUCCAUCCCACCACCUGGAAAACAGCAAGUUGUAUUGCUGUGGAUGGGAAACAUUUUUGUAAGCAAAUAAACGUAGAAAAUGUGCACUCCAGAGUCACAUAGGAUGAGUGAACAUUCUCUGAAGGCCCCUGAUCCCCCCAGCCCCUGUCGGCUCCAUAACGGAGCCGGCAGUCAUGUGGGCAGCCAAUCCGGCUGCCCAGGGCUGCCUCCCUGCUCAUGUGCAGGGACAGUGAGCUAAGCCCACUUUCACCGCUAACGUUUUACGUGUCCUUCAACAAGUGCCCUGCUUCUAACCCAUUCUCCCAACUAAGCAGAAGAAUUCCAACUCAAGAGACUAGUUCCUUGUGAAUGAAAGAACAGACCAUUUGGGAUCUAAAGACAUUCAGAUGAAAUUGGCAAGACUGGGAUAUGAAUCUUUGGAGGCACUCAACAAAAGCAAAUGAAGCUGGCAGCAAAAUCAUAGGGGGGGGGGAGAAAGAAAAACCCUAAGAGGAUAUAUGGAGCAUCAGCACAAAUAUAUGAAGAGUUUAAAAGUAUAUGUUUAUAUUGCCUUGUUUUUGCACUAUUUCUUGUAAGCUGCUUGGAGUCUCUAUGAGAAAAGCAGAGUAAAACCCUUCUAAAUAAAUAAGUGUGCCAUUCAUGGUUAAAGCUAUGUAUUUGCUACCACAAAAUGCACGCUUUUAAGAACCACAAAAGAUAUAAUAUCCAUUUAGGAAUUUGCACUUACAGUAAUUAUCAUGGAAUCAUCAUACUACUACUACUUGCAUGAGUCACAAUUUUUCUUCAUUUACUUAUAAAUCAACACCGCCAAAUAAAUUAAAUGUUGGUGUGCCUAAAGGGUUGUUGAGAAAAUAAUGUAUAUUCACAGCAAGUUAUUUCCCUCAUUCGUCAAGGUGAAUCUUUAUUUUGAUUGUACAGAUGAUUUGGUGAGGAAACUAAAGUUGUUAUUACUUCACAGGGGUGCAGACAGAGGGACAGCUUGAUGAACCUGCUUAAAUUUUGUGUAGAGAGGGGAAAAACUUUUGGGGGGAUUUAGUGAAAUGCGGGGGAACUUCUCAAUUGCUUAAGAGGGGAUCUGUACUCUGUUAUUUCAGGCCAGGUUUCUAAUAUUUAUUUAUUCUAUGUGUGGCCAGUUCAGAGAUUUCUAUUGCCUGCAAAAUAUAGAAGCUAUUGUUACAUACCCCUAAUCCUUUCUGUGUCUAGAGUUGCAGCUCCUGAAAUAAAUAAUUCUAGUACCUGGUCUUUUGGGGAGGUGUGGGAGCCCCUAGGGGCAGAACCCAGAUGGAUCAAGCAGUGGUGCCCAAAAUAGUCAGAGGUAGAACCCAAUGGGAUCUUGAAAUGUAGUCCAAUGGCAAAGGAAUAGAGCCUGCUUUCCCAAGAGCACAGUCACGUCAUAAGGGGGUGCGCACCAGCAGUAUGAGGCAAACCCCAUUCACACAGGUCAGAAUCCAGCAAUGUAAGUUUGAAACUCACCCCCACCCCAAAAGCUCAUGUUAACUUUUCUAUUGAUGUACAAAACCAGUUCGCCCGGUUCGGUUCAAAUUUGAACCGGGAGGGGGAAGUUCAGUUUUGGUUUUGCUCGAAACCUCCCCCACCCCGCCCCGCCUCAGUUCGGUUUGAAUUCAAACCUGCAGCUCGAACCUGAUGGCUGGUUUGGUUCAAAUUUGAACUGGUUCAAAUUCAAACCGGUUUGCACAUCCCUAGUACAGGUCCUCUCCCCAUCAAACAAUAUAUCUAUACAAGCAACUAAAAGGGCAUAACAAGCAGACUGAGCCCAGAUAUAGAUUACACAUUAGCCCUGUUCAGGCAUUCAAAAAAAAAGGAAAAAAGGAAAAAAACCCACCUGGAUCGCCUAAGGCUGCAAAUCACAGAAGUGCCUGCUGCCACCAAAGUAAGGAGCUUCCCUCUCCACAGAAACACUGCUCUUUCCCUAAGCAGUGAAAGGAGGGAAAUAGUUGGCAUGAGGGGGUGGGACUUUCCAACCACUUUAGGCAGCUGUAAUUGCGUUCUUUUGAAUGUCUGAACAGGGCUAUUAUCACAUGUGUAACACCCAUAUGUGCAGCAUAAUAUUGAGAAACUAAACAUACAAAUGGGGAAACAGUACAGCAGCUGAAAAUGUCUAAUCUGAAGAGCAAUCAAUGAAUCUGUGGCAGAGAAUUCAAAAUCCAUUUAAAGCUUUUCACUGAAGGAAGUGAGCUAAUUUAGCCAGAUACUUCAGAGUGAUUCAUAGCAUGUGUGCAUGUUCCAGGACGCAUUAACCCAUUGCACACUCCUGCCCAGGGACAGCGCCCCAAGCCAUUUUGCUCCCUGAAGCAAAGGACAACAUGACCUCCAUCUACCGGGAGGUGCACAGCAAUCUCAGGCCAUGCUGUUGAGGCAACAGUGGUGGCAAGCGAGGACUCGUAGACUAGGCCACCAAGCCAAGCAGUGGUGGCAAAGGCAUUCCUAGAUGGCAUCAAGGUGGGAGGGGGGACAGGGAGAGGUGCACCCCAGCAGGGCAAGGAAGGGGAAAUGAACAGCAUCCUCCAGCAUAAUAACAGUGGGAGCAGGGAGGCCGAUGAGGUGGCUGUUGCCUCUGCUCCUCCUUGUGUCCGAGGUGACUGUCUCACCCUGCCGCAUGUAUGGACCAUCCCUACUGUCUCACCUCAUAUUAUCUCUUUUUCUUUCUUUCUUUCUUUCUUUCUUUCUUUCUUUCUUUCUUUCUUUCUUUCUUUCUUUCUUUCUUUCUUUCUUUCUCUCUCUCUCUCUCUUACCCCUGGACUUCAGGGCCAAGGUCCAAGGCCUCCACCAGUGUUCUCUCUAAUUUUUCCCAUCUGUGUGCGGAAUGAAUUUGGUUCUGAGCAGAAGUAUCAAGGCAGUGUGUGCGCAUGUGCAUUCAGAAUGGGGCCUUCCUGAUUCAACCUGAGCAGGAACUAAAAUUAACUGAGUGGACAAAAAACUUGUGAGCGUACGCAUGUGUACAUGUCUUAGAGGGAACACUGGUCUCUACACCUCCUGCCCCCACAUCCUCUUUAGACUGUUCUGGGUGUUGUUGUUUGUGCCUACAUGUUGUGUCAAGAACCUACAUGUUUAAAAAUGAUGCUUAACUUGUAGUGGGGGGGCCUCCAAAGGCCUUUAGCUCCAGACUCCAAAAUUACCUAGGUGCACCUCUGCGCGUGCACACACACACACACACACACACUGUUCUCCUGCUUGCUACAAUUGGCAGCUACCUCCUCUCCUCUGGGUUGCAUGGCAAUCACUUCGAACAAGCAGCUUGGAGACAGGCAGCUGCUGCUACUGCCAUAGCUCCUUCCUGAAGAGAGCUCCAAGCCCUGACCAACAACCCUAGGUAGCUUACUAGGUUAGGACCCUACUCAAGCCAUGAAGUUCAGAGUUCAAGCCCUGGAAAUCCUGAGCAUUCUAACCACAAAAAGGUGGGAAUCCAGAUUGCAGUCAGCCCCCAGACUAUGCCCUCUGCCCCGGAUGCCCACUCCACUACUCUCAGAUUGAUAUUAUACUCAGUUGCUGGAAAGGUACUUUGCAUAUGUUCAGAAGCACUUUGUUCUUGAACACCAAGUUUAAUUUUGCAUAGUUCAGACUAACUGUGUUUGUCUUAACCCUGUUUUAUGCAAUAUUCAUUUCUCUUCAGAAAGAAAACACAUACCUGAGUGAGAUACAAACCAUCAUUCAUAACAUUUAUGUUCCCAAGAACCCUCUGCUUUAAUGUUGCCUCAAAGUUACAUGUUUUUCAAAAAUGUGUCAUUUUCCCAGUCCACAAACAACUCGGCAACCUCGAAAGCACAAGGAGACAUUACAGCCCUCUAAUGCAGAUAUUCCAAGUAAAUGAAACCUUUUUUCAGUGUGGUUGCCUUUGUAAUAAUAGCCUUCUUAUAUGGUCAAUACUUAUAUAACAGAAGAUGAAAAGGCAUUUUAUAGCUUUUUGGCGAAAGGACUGAAAAUUAACAGCAUACCUGUGGCUAUUCAAAGCCAGGCAGGGAGUCAUUUUCAGGCCAUGGGAAACACCAGAAGUUUUGCAUCUUCAUUCCUGCUUCUUGACUAGUUUCCACUAUUUGUAUAUAGACUUUUUUUUUUCAUGAAGCAAGAUAAAAUUAAAAGCAAC